AUUCCACAAAUAGCCCCCUUAUUAUGAUUAAACUUAUUCUUGAUAUUCUCUGCUACAUUUGUUAUAUUCAUCAUCUUGAAUUAUUUCAUUAAAGUUCCAGCUAAAAUUGAAAAAUCUCCUUCAACCCCCCAAAAAAUAGAAAUAACUUGAAAAUGAUAA
rnacentral:misc_RNA from 1 species